GACGAACGCUGGCGGCGUGCCUAAUACAUGCAAGUCGAACGCAUUUUCUUUCACCGUAGCUUGCUACACCGAAAGAAAAUGAGUGGCGAACGGGUGAGUAACACGUGGGUAACCUGCCCAUCAGCGGGGGAUAACACUUGGAAACAGGUGCUAAUACCGCAUAAUUCCAUUUACUGCAUGGUAGAUGGAUGAAAGGCGCUUUUGCGUCACUGAUGGAUGGACCCGCGGUGCAUUAGCUAGUUGGUGGGGUAACGGCCUACCAAGGCUGCGAUGCAUAGCCGACCUGAGAGGGUGAUCGGCCACACUGGGACUGAGACACGGCCCAGACUCCUACGGGAGGCAGCAGUAGGGAAUCUUCGGCAAUGGACGCAAGUCUGACCGAGCAACGCCGCGUGAGUGAAGAAGGUUUUCGGAUCGUAAAACUCUGUUGUUAGAAAAGAACAAGGAUGAGAGUGGAAAGUUCAUCCCUUGACGGUAUCUAACCAGAAAGUCACGGCUAACUACGUG
rnacentral:rRNA from 1 species